UACGAAGGGGGCUAGCGUUGCUCGGAAUGACUGGGCGUAAAGGGCGCGUAGGCGGCUUUGCAAGUGGCGGGUGAAAUCCCUCGGCUUAACCGAGGAACUGCCUGCCAGACUGUGAGGCUUGAGACCGGGAGAGGUGAGUGGAAUUCCCAGUGUAGCGGUGAAAUGCGUAGAUAUUGGGAGGAACACCAGUGGCGAAGGCGGCUCACUGGACCGGAACUGACGCUGAGGCGCGAAAGCGUGGGGAGCAAACAGG
rnacentral:rRNA from 1 species